rnacentral:lncRNA from 1 species
GGACUUACAGAUUUGGAGAAGCCCACACAGCACACGGCUCUGUCAAACACCCCCAAGCCCAGCACGUGGGUUCCCGCCACCUGUCCCGUGGCGAUGGUGACCAUAUCUGGGUGGAUGGCCAAGCUGCGGAAAGAAGGGACAGAGAGACCAGGGCUCAGUGGGAGAGAAGAGGCUCACAGAGACCCAGGACAUUCAUUCCACAAAUU